rnacentral:misc_RNA from 1 species
UUAAGUUCAGCGGGUAGUCCUACCUGAUUUGAGGUCAAGCGUUCGAAAUGAUGUCUAGCUAAGGCAUCUGGGAUUUAGAAGCAGACAGACGUUGAUGCUCCGCCCCACGACGAUCAUUAUCACGUCGGAAGGCCUUGCUUGUCCACCGCUAAUGUAUUUCAGGAGAGCUGACAAACAAGCCAGCAACCCCCAACUCCAAG